rnacentral:lncRNA from 1 species
UUUGUUUUAACUUGACUCUGAAGGGAGUGAGGCCCAGACAGCGGUGCUGCGAGAAGGCCUCCCUCCUCGUUUUUCUUUUUUUUUUUCAGGUGGACGUUGGCCAGUUUUAACCGAAUUUGGCAGAAGGGGUGGCAGCUGCAAGCUCUCACAUCUUUUCUAAAUAUGAGCAGCCCAAGGGAAAGGAGAGACAAUAGCCAGGUCUCCUUCCUCACCUCCGAUUACAGGAAGAAAGCUGGAGGGUGAAUUCAACCAUUGUUAGGCACCAGAAAAUCCACUUCUCCGUUAAGGUUUCUGAGGUGUGCGCUUUCCUGAUCACACAUAAGGAGGGGUGUUGGAGAAUGAAAUGAGUUCCCAUACUCUUUUCCUUGGAAUAUCUCAAAAACUCAAUCAUGGGCAUGCAUCCACUGGAAACACUUCCUGCACUGCAGCCACGUCACCAGUGCACAGCCAGGAUUGACUAUGCCAAUAUAGAGGGCAACAUUAUAAAGACAGAGGGAGAAGUACAAAGGAGAGCAGCUACAUUGAGUUUUUCAAGGCUCUGGAGCAGAGCUAUCAUUGUAUCACUUUUGACAAGAACAAAGGUUAAACUAGAAGAACAGUCAAUGAUUGAUGCAGUGACAAGAUUUGCAGAGCUGCCUUUGACCAUUAAAUACCUUCCCAUCCCCAAAUGCGUACCCAAAGUAAAUCAUAGCUUAUUCCUUCUCAGACAAGUUUCUUGUAGUUUGUUUGGUGGCAUGUUCCUCAGGAAGAAAAAAGUACCUCUUUGA